CUCAAACGACUGUCGGCAACGAUAUCUCGCUUCGCAUCGAUGAAGAACGUAGCGAAAUGCGCUACUGUAAUGCAGAAUCCUGACCAUCGAGUUUUGAACAAGUUGCGCCGAAGCCAUCAGCUGCAGUCCGUCAGCAUCGUCGC
rnacentral:rRNA from 1 species